AUGAAACAACUAUAUUUACAUUUCCUCCGGGAGAGCCAACGCAGCACUGCACGGAGUUCUCCUAAAGCAACAGCAUGUACCAACCAGGAGCUCAGUUUCAAAGCAGCACCACUGGAGAGGAGGAAAAACACACGAUCGCCUAGGCAGGGUACUGGAAGCGCUGCCAUCAGCGCAAAGCCAACCUCGGGGUGGACUACAUUCAGCAGCAACACUGGUUAUAUAUGGAGAACAGAAAACAAGAAGACCCAAGCCCAAGAAAAAAAGCAGACAGAAGUCCUAACUCCUCUUCAUGCAAGAAGACAUCUUAAUGUAGGAGGGACUUUCUUCCUUCUUACUGCUUGGAGCUGAACCAAAGAGAUUAUUCCAAAUUAUAAUUUAAAUUUACAUUUCUCAAGAUAACACUGACCUCGUUGCCCUGAUGACUUCAUGUCUGCUGUCAUUAGGAUGAUAUUCAUUCCCAUGACAAAUGAAAUGGUUAAAGGUAAGUUAUAGAAACUAUAUUCAUUAUCACAAAGUACCUGUAAUUCUUGCUAAUAUGAAGCUAGGUAGUAAAUAUUUAACCUGUUAGUAUCCUCCAAGAAACAUGUUUAGGAAGUUUAUUUGAUUAAACACAAUCAUUCCUUAAAUAUUUUUAUGGUAGUCCUUUAGCAAAAUAAUU
rnacentral:lncRNA from 1 species